GUGGCCGAGUGGUUAAGGCGAUGGGCAAAAAAUCAGUUGGGAUCUUCCCGCGUAAGUUCGACUCCUACCAACCA